rnacentral:rRNA from 1 species
UACGUAGGGUGCGAGCGUUAAUCGGAAUUACUGGGCGUAAAGCGUGCGCAGGCGGCGCGUUAAGACAGGUGUGAAAGCCCCGAGCUUAACUUGGGAAUUGCGCUUGUGACUGGCGAGCUGGAGUGUGGCAGAGGGAGGUGGAAUUCCACGUGUAGCGGUGAAAUGCGUAGAUAUUGGGAAGAACACCGGUGGCGAAGGCGGGUCGCUGGGCCGAUACUGACGCUGAGGAGCGAAAGCGUGGGGAGCAAACAGG